rnacentral:rRNA from 1 species
ACUCCUACGGGAGGCAGCAGUGGGGAAUAUUGCACAAUGGGGGAAACCCUGAUGCAGCCAUGCCGCGUGUGUGAAGAAGGCCUUCGGUUGUAAAGCACUUUCAGUAGGGAGGAAGGUAGUGUAGUUAACACCUGCACUAUUUGACGUUACCUACAGAAGAAGCACCGGCUAACUCCGUGCCAGCAGCCGCGGUAAUACGGAGGGUGCGAGCGUUAAUCGGAAUUACUGGGCGUAAAGCGCAUGCAGGCGGCCUGUUAAGUCAGAUGUGAAAGCCCGGGGCUUAACCUCGGAAUUGCAUUUGAAACUGGCAGGCUAGAGUCUUGUAGAGGGGGGUAGAAUUUCAGGUGUAGCGGUGAAAUGCGUGGAGAUCUGAAGGAAUACCAGUGGCGAAGGCGGCCCCCUGGACAAAGACUGACGCUCAGAUGCGAAAGCGUGGGGAGCAAACAGGAUUAGAUACCCUGGUAGGAUAGCG